rnacentral:rRNA from 1 species
UAUUAAUAAGCGGAGGAAAAGAAACUAACAAGGAUUCCCGUAGUAAUGGCGAAUGAACUGGGAAAGGCUCAAAUUUAAAAUCACUUUUGUGAAUUGUAGUUUAAAGGAAAUUAGUCUCACAGCAAUCGCUAGUUAAGUAUUCUGGAAUGGAUCGUCAAGGAGGGUGAAAUUCCCGUAUACACUAGAUAGAAAGCUGCAAAGAACUUUUAUCCUACGAGUCGUGUUGCUUGUUAAUGCAGCAUUAAUUGGGAGGUAAAUUCCUUCUAAAGCUAAAUAUAAGAGAGAGACCGAUAGCAAACAAGUACCGUGAGGGAAAGAUGAAAGAGAACCCUGAAAAGGGGACUCAAAAGAAUGUGAAAUUGUCAAAAGGUAAGCGCUAAGAAUUGUUCGGAAUCUGAAUUUCAACUUUGAUCAGGGGAAACUCUGUAGUUAAAAUUUGGGUGGCUAUAGCUUUUGUUUUGACUAUCAAGAAUUUUGGGAUAGAGAUUGUAGGCCUCGGCUUACCUUUUCUUGAACUUGACAAUUGACUGUUGAAGCAGGAGUAAAAGUCUCACAAAGGUGUUGAUGAGGGGCACUUUCUCUUAUAGGCUUGCCUAGAGGAGUCAGGAACUUUAUCUUCUUUUUUAUGAGUUCUUAUAGUUAGAAGGUUCUAAGCGUCCCGUCUUGAANCACGGACC